GGGUGUAGCUCAGUGUAGAGUACGUGCCUAGCGUGCACGAGGUCCCGGGUUCAAUCCCCAGUACUUCCA
rnacentral:tRNA from 1 species